rnacentral:rRNA from 1 species
ACGCUGGGGAUAACAGGCUUAUCGCGCCCGAGAGUUCACAUCGACGGCGCGGUUUGGCACCUCGAUGUCGGCUUGUCACAUCCUGGGGCUGGAGAAGGUCCCAAGGGUCCGGCUGUUCGCCGGUUAAAGUGGCACAUGAGCUGGGUUCAGAACGUCGUGAGACAGUUCGGUCUGUAUCCGGUGCGGGCGGUGGAGUGUUGAGGGGCGUCGUCCGUAGUACGAGAGGACCCGGACGAAGCGACCUCUCGUGUCCCGGCUGUGCCGCCAGGCGCAACGCCGGUUAGCGAUGUCGCGCGGGGAUAACCGCUGAAUGCAUCUAAGUGGGAAACCCUCCCCAAGAUGAACACUCCCGGGUCGCAAGACCCCUGAAGGGCCCUGGGAGACUACCAGGUUGAUAGGCGGCAGGUGCACGGCGCGUGAGCGCUUGAGCCGAGCCGUACUAAUUGCCCGUGAGGCUUGAUCUCU